rnacentral:misc_RNA from 1 species
UUGCCCUUGCACUAUCUCAAAGCGAGGCACUUCCGGUAAAAGAAAAAAGUAUUGGGUCUAAAAUGGCGGACGCGCAAGACUUGAAGCACAUGAUUAUGAGCUUCCGUGUGUCAGAACUUCAAGUCUUACUUGGUUUUGCUGGUAAAAGUAAAAGUGGUCGCAAACAAGAACUUCUACAAAGAGCUUUAGGUUUGGUAUCCCGAGUCUGUUCAAUACCUGUUCAAAUAAAAAUUCGUGAACUAUACAGACAACUUCCUAUUUUGACUGAUUAUUCAUCUGUUGGGAACUCCAUCUCUGGUGUGAGACGCCGAUUUCCUAGCAGAAAUACUAGCCCAAACCAAAAUGCCACGUCUCAACCCAGUUCUGACUCUGGUUCGUCAUCAAGCAAUUUUCAGGGGAAACAAAGUUCUUUAAAUUCAGUUAAAUCGGAAUUGAUCAGAAAUCUGGCUGUACACCCAUUAAACUUAAAGUCUUCAAUAGGGAUGCAAGGAAAAAGUCCAAUUGAUUUUAGCAGUAAGCACAAUCACUCAAGUCCUGUGAGUUCAUUACCAGUUCAUCCAGAUGUGAGGUUGAAACGGCUACCGUUUUAUGACAUUUUAGGAGAGCUUCUGAAACCAACUAGUUUGGUCCCUAAACCUACUGGUCGUUUUCAAGAAACAUUCUUUAUAUUCCAUCUCACUCCUCAACAGGCACAAGAUAUUGCUAUGUCCAGAGAUUUUAGACCUGGUGCUAAAUGUGAAUACACAACACAAGUGCAGUUGAGAUUUUGCCUUUUGGAAACAAGCUGCGAACAAGAUGACAACUUCCCUCCAAGUAUAUGUGUGAGAGUGAAUGGGAAACUCGCGACAUUGCCAAAUCCAAUACCAACAACUAAACCUGGUGUUGAGCCCAAACGUCCAGGACGUCCAGUUGACAUCACAGCUUUAUGCCGGUUGUCACCAACAGUGCCCAAUCAUGUUGACGUGUCAUGGGCUUCAGAGUUUGGAAGGGGUUACUGUGUUGCAGUUUACUUGGUGAAAAAGCUUACCUCUGACAUUCUACUACAAAGAUUAAAACAGUUUGGUAACCGCCAUCCAGAUCAUUCCAGAGCUUUGAUUAAAGAAAAAUUACAACAUGAUCCAGACAGUGAAAUUGCAACUACUAGCCUUAGAGUAUCAUUGAUGUGUCCACUUGGAAAAAUGCGUCUUCAGAUUCCCUGUCGUUGCAGUACAUGUACACAUUUACAGUGUUUUGAUGCUUUCACAUUUCUUAUGAUGAAUGAGAAAAAACCUACAUGGAUCUGCCCUGUCUGUGAUAAAUCUGCAGCAUUUGAUAAACUUAUUAUUGAUGGAUUAUUUGUGGAAAUUCUUCAACAGUCUGCUGGUUGUACAGAGAUUCAAUUUGGUGAAGAUGGUUCUUGGAGUCCUUUGAAGGCUGUAAAAGAAACAUUACUUAUCAGCAGCCCAGUUAUUAAAAGCUCAUCAAUACCAGGAUCACCCGAGAAAAAAGCAAGUCCACAGCAAGAUGUGAUUGAUUUGACUAUGGAUUCCUCAUCUGACGAGGAAGAUCUCACACAGCAUGUUACUCCAUCACGAACUCCAAGUACAUCACAAACCAGUAAUUCUUCAGGAUCAUCAAUUGCGACUUCAGUUAAUUCAUCUCCUGUGUAUUCCAACAAUGUAUAUCUUCAGCCGCCUUCCCUUCCUGUUAUCACCUCCAACAGUAUUGCAGCAGUAUUUGGCUCGCGGUCAUCUCCUGUGUUGAAAUCUGCACACUCAUUGUACAUAUCACCUCCAAACUUUGCUGAACUGUCAGCUAAUGAUAUUUCUGAAAAUUUUACAAAACUACCAGUUUUCCCUGGAGCCAAUUCCAGUUCAGCAGCAGCGGCAGCAGCAGCAGCUUCAACACCAAACCCAAGGGGUAAUGAGAUUCACUUUAUAUCUAUCUGAAUUCCUCUCAAAAUGGCAGAGAGAUUUGAAACUACAGUUGCUGGAUGGCAGUAGCUCUGUGCAUAUAGAUGUCUCCAUGUACUCAUUGCUAUCACCAGAAGCCAGUGAUGAUAUGGAG